rnacentral:misc_RNA from 1 species
AACGCACCUUGCGCUCGUUGGUAUUCCGACGAGCAUGCCUGUUUGAGUGUCAUUAAAUUCUCAAUCUUACCAGUUUGGUUAUGAGACUGUGUAAGGCUUGGAUGUGGGGGUUUGUGCAGGCUGCGUUAGUGCGGUCUGCUCCCCUGAAAUGCAUUAGCGAGUUCAAACUGAGCUCCGUCUAUUGGUGUGAUAAUUAUCUACGCCGUGGAGGGUUCUUAGACUUGCUUCUAACCGUCCGCAAGGACAACUUUUGACAAUUUGACCUCAAAUCAGGUAGGACUACCCGCUGAACUUAA